AGAUGACGUAGGUGUUCUAUUUUUCUACGGGAACUUCUCUACUAUGACCGGGUUCUGACGGAGAUUGAACGUCGGGUGAGAGGGUCGGGGAGUCGUUUGGUGCGGUAGGGCCCUAAAAAUAUC